CACGUAGGCGGACCGGAAAGUUGGGGGUGAAAUCCCGGGGCUCAACCCCGGAACUGCCUUCAAAACUAUCGGUCUGGAGUUCGAGAGAGGCGAGUGGAACUCCGAGUGUAGAGGUGAAAUUCGUAGAUAUUCGGAGGAACACCAGUGGCGAAGGCGGCUCACUGGCUCGAUACUGACGCUGAGGUGCGAAAGCGUGGGGAGCAAACA
rnacentral:rRNA from 1 species